UACAGAGGUCUCAAGCGUUGUUCGGAUUCAUUGGGCGUAAAGGGUGCGCAGGCGGCCGCGCGCGUGGGUGGUGAAAUCUCCCGGCUCAACUGGGAGGGGGCCAUCCAGACGGCGUGGCUUGAGGCUCGGAGGGGGGCGUGGAAUUCCGGGUGGAGCGGUGAAAUGCGUAGAGAUCCGGAGGAACACCGACGGCGAAGGCAGCGCCCUGGACGAGACCUGACGCUCAGGCACGAAAGCUGGGGGAGCAAACAGG
rnacentral:rRNA from 1 species